UGACUUUGACAUAUCCAAUUUAUCAUUUCGUAUAAUUUGCUCCAAUUCUACGUAGUUUUAGCAUGAAUCUCUAAAGCAAUAAUACUACAUAUCCUAUUAUUAAUUCUAUUUGUGUAUUAUCCGUAAUUAGAUUUAUUUCCCCGAAACAUAACCUUUGUCGCGGUAAGCUUUUGUAUCUUCAGUCUUCAGUACUUAUAUACAAACUUUUCUAACCUUGAAGUGAAUUUAUGAUUGCAAGUAAAUAAAUAGUGUGUGGUUAUCUAUCUGAUGCAUAUCGCACAUUAAUAGUAUGUGUUAUAUGAGCCGGAAUAUAAAAUGUCUGCACCAUCUAAAGUCAACAAGGAAAACUUCCGUCUUCUGGAUUUGUCCAGUGACGAAGAGUCUGAAGAUUUGCAGCUAGAAAUAAUUCCUAGCAGGAAGAAGAAAAUCACAAGACGUGAGCGCAGCAGAAGCUCUGCCCCAGCGGCUCUAGAACACAACAUUGGUACAGAAGUACGAUGCGCACUCCGCUGGGCUGUGAGAGGCACUCUCUUGCUGUGGCUGCUCAUGUUAACAUGGAUUUGUGCAGCUCUCUAUGACCAAGUUACUACAAUGAGAGUGGAAAUUGGACAUGUAUCAAGAAGCAGCAACAGUGUAGACGACGCGUUACAAGUAUGCCACACAACCGCCAAGGAGUUGCGCGCGAACGCCAGCGCUUUGAGCGAGAAGUUCGCACAGUUAGACUUGGAGCACAAAGAACUGAGCCAGCGGGUUGCUCAGGCGGCCCAGGACUUGGCUGUGGUGUCCAACCAGCUGUCCGCAGCUCCCAAGCUAGCUGACACGCCGCGAAGACUUGCGGAACUGCAGAGGACAGUCGCAACUUUUGGUUCACAGAUCAACGGUUUCGACAGUUCAAUAAGUUCGACCCACAAGCAGGCCUUAGCCGCGGUAGCAGGGGUCGAGGAAAUACGAACACUUCUGCAUCAGCUCGAUGCGAAGGCCAACGAAACAAUAGCCAACGUCACCGCCAACACGAAGAGAGACGAGGAUCUCCGAAGUGACGUCGGCUCGCUUAAUACCACGCUCACGAGUAAAAUUGAGGCCUUGCAGAUCAGGAUACAGGAAAUAUCCAAGCCAGUGAGCACAGUGCCGCCGACAGUGCCGACCGCAGCAACGGCAGGCAGCACGGCAGCCGUCGUCAAUGCUACCUCCACCACCACGACCUCGGUACCGCCAGGGAAGCCUGCUGUGCUGCAAUGAGGCAUACUCAAAGCCGUCAUUCCUCCAAACUCGUGAACCGAAGUCGGAUGACGAGAGAAACGCUCAGUCUUGAUCUCAAUACGUCCACACGACAAAUAUACACACGUAGACGUAACCGAGAGACGGAACGAAUACCCUCCAAGUAUAAUAAGCAUAGCCGACGCGAAAUGACUCGGCCAUACACUACAGUCAAUAUUUUUACAACAAUUUUAUUUAAGUCAUCCUGUAUAUAGUACCCUUUUCUUGACAUUCUAAUUUUGAUUUUAUAAUAAAGUUCCCUGUUUAGUGUUCGUACUUAUAAAUACGCGUUUUAAUUGACUUGGUAUAGACUACUAUUUGACGGAUGUAUUAAUUUUAUUUAUAUUGACAGUAAUUUUAGUUUGUAAUUAUUUGUGAACGUCUUUUAUGAGAUGUGUCAACGAAAUAGUGAUGUGAGAUACACUAAUGCAAUAUCGGCGAGUGAGAAUUUCAGAUACAUUGUAAAUAUUUAAUUGUAAUUUAGUUUAAUGAGCGUAGUUAUACACACGCGAACGCACUGUGUGUCAUGUUGUCGGUACGAGUGUGAGUUUUAUUACUUGUAAUAAAUUAUUGUUAAUAGAUCAGUUAUUAUUACA
rnacentral:misc_RNA from 1 species